GAAGGGACAAGUUGGGGGUGAUUACCAGGGUUUUGACUGAAACCUCCAGGUGAAUGAGGGAGGGAGUGUGUGAAAGCUACAACAGACCCUGGUUUGUAGAUACACAGCCCAGUGUACAGGAUGCAAGGCUGUAAGGAAGUAACUUGGCCUCUGUGAAAUGACCAACUCUGGCCCAAGAAAGAAGUAAUGGUUACCUUAUUGUUCCUCUGCCAGGAGUGCUGGAGCAUUUAUCUUCUGAGAGUAGAAAGAACCUCCUAAUUAUGGAGGAGGGGAAAGGAGGCUGUGCUGUGCUGCCUGCUAUGUGUAGGAAUUUUGCUGACCUGGUGGAUCUUCAUAUAUUGCCACAAGGUUCAAACAGAAAUACCAGCUGGUUUUCUGAACAGAAGAAAGAGGAAGUCUGCAGUUAAAAGAAACAAUUGAUUCGAGAGUCAAGGAGUAUUUGGAAAUUUGUAAACAGCACAGGACAUCAAAUGCAGAAUUCACAAGAUCGGUCCCUUGUCCUUAAAAGGUAAACCCAGAGCACUUUGAUUUUGGACAAAGAAAAUUAAAUUUCUGCUUGUAGAGAAUUAUAUUUGACUCUGACUAUCAUGUUAAAAUAGUGAUACAUUUAAAAACUAUGUUGAAAGAAGAUAACUUUAUUUGGGUAAUGGAAAUUAAGCAAAAUACCCUGCAGGAGUUUUAAUUGUAGGCAAAAUAUAUAAAAAUAGCAAAUAAAACAUUCCUAAGGAAACUGUAAAUUUUUAAA
rnacentral:lncRNA from 1 species